GACGACGACCUCACAUCCUGUGACGUCUCUGUGCGGUGAGGCACUGAGCUUCACAACCUAAUUCAGUUGGAGCUGUUGUACACAGUUAUUUCGGAUUUCCAGAGGAUUUAAUUAUUGUUAAAGCGAUAAUGCCCACUUGUAUGGCCGUUGGAUGUUCCAACACGACAGGUAAAAGUGAAAAAAGCAUAAAUUAUUUCACCUUUCCGACUCACGAUCCACCACGGGUUCGUCGUUGGAUUGCCAACCUGAAGAGGAAGGAUUUACCAUCAAACUUCUGGCCAGAAAGAAAACAUGUCAUCUGUAGCCAGCAUUUCGAGGAAGAAUGUUUUGAAGAUGACGUAAGAGCGAGGAUUUUGGCUGAAAUCUAUGGAGAGGAAAGACGACUGGCAAAUAAACGGAGACUCACACCCACUGCCGUCCCCACAGUGUUCUGUUUUACAAAAGAAAGAAAGAAAAGAACUUUGUCAAUCAAUCGUAGCCUCUUACGCGAACGUCGUCUCAUGGUAGCUGAAGCUCUUGGAUGUACAGGUGCUAAUGGCGACAGGAAAAGUGUUUCUGUUCAAGAAAGGAGCGGCCCAGUGUCCACCAAAAAACCACCAAAAAGGAAAAAACGGAGUUUCUGUGAUUCAGCAACACAGUUUGAUAAAAUAGAGACAUGUGACACAGGUGUACAGUGUCAGCUACUGUCCUCUUAUGAUGGGUGGCCAGUGUGGACAGGAACAGUCAGUCGACAUGAAAUCACACGUGACCACUGUUACAGCCGAGAAACACCAGAGACGAUGCCUCUCACGUCCACCUCUCACUGCCGUUAAAUCAAGAAAGAGCUCACAUGUGUGAAUCUCCAGCCCUUGACACUACUGGACUCAUGUCAGUUGCAAGGCCCCCAACAAAUGAACUCUUGAAGAGCCAGAACAUUAGAUUUAUCAAGGACUAUUAAGACAGUGAUUGCACGUUGAGUAAAAUAAAUCUUCCUAAUUUUUCCAUUGAUAACCUUUUCUUCCAGUUACCUUUUCUGUCUUUUGAAAUGUACCUAUACUUUUGGGCAUGUGUCCUCUGUUUGAAAGUCAAUCAUUAAAAAGCACGGGGGGAAAAAACUAAGUUUAUCUGAAUAGAUAAAUAGGUUCAGAUUAUUUUUUUUCAGAUAAGUAAAAACAGCUAAACCUUUUUAUAGGCCUUAUUUAUGUGUUAUGGAUCCACCUGGACCAAAAAAAAUUAAAAGUGAAGACUAAAUUUUUGUGGGUGUUCCUAUUUUUAAACCUUGUAUUAUAUAUUUCUGUUUGUUUCGUAAGCUAAGUACAUAUCAGGGUAUAUAAUUUGUGGUUGCAUAUAUAAUACGGAGCAGUUUUCUAGUUAUAGUGAAAAUUAGUAUCUGCGCGGUAACAAAUAAUACAUGUUUUGGUGAGGACUUUGGAUUACAAGCUUCAUCCUGAAAUUGACUAUACAUUUGCAGACUAAUUCAAAAUAUGACAUGGGGCAUUUUUCACUUUAGGGUUAUAAUUUGCAAAUUUUUCACCAUGCUAAGAUUAAAAACUUACACAUUAUAUACAUUUUACAUGUAUCUUUUAUUAGUUCAACAUACAAAAAAAAAAAAAAAAAAAACUAGCCAUCAUUGUCAGCUUCUUUAAACCAAACCCAAGAUAAACUCCAUCACUAGGAUAUUUUUUUCCUAAUGGCAAGAACUACACAAGAUGGUAUGACGUGAAUACUCAUCAGUUUUUUCCAUAAUCUGGUCUAUUUCACGACAGCAACACAAUUGAUCUACAGUCAUCAAGUUGCAGCUUCCACACAAAUACCAAGACAAGACCAAAAGCUGGUUUUGUUUGGCUGGUGGAUCCUCGACUGAUUUAUUGCUCUUGUCCUAAUCAGCAUCAUCAUGAGGGCGAGGCCCUGCCUGAAAGACCAGAAGAGAAUUAAAUCAGUUGGACCAUCUUAUAACAGUUAACAAAUGAAAACAAAAGUUAUACAAAUAAGAUCAUUUAAUUAGGUUGUAGGCUUAAAGGUGUAGGGCCUACAUUUUAAUUAUUAUUAGGGUAAUAAAGUCAAUCGCAUAAUUUCAAAAGUUUACUCGAGAUUAAUCCCAAAUUAAUCGCUCAUUUAAAUUUUUUUUUCUGAAAGUGUAAAAGCCUAUUUGGCCAUUUUAAUAUGCAAUUUUGGCAUAAAUGAC